rnacentral:rRNA from 1 species
AUUCUGGGCGUAAGCGCACGCAGGCGGUCUGUCAAGUCGGAUGUGAAAUCCCCGGGCUCAACCUGGGAACUGCAUUCGAAACUGGCAGGCUAGAGUCUUGUAGAGGGGGGUAGAAUUCCAGGUGUAGCGGUGAAAUGCGUAGAGAUCUGGAGGAAUACCGGUGGCGAAGGCGGCCCCCUGGACUGAGACUGACGCUCAGGUGCGAAAGCGUGGGGAGCAAACAGGAUUAGAUACCCUGGUAGUCCACGCCGUAAACGAUGUCGAUUUGGAGGUUGUGCCCUUGAGGCGUGGCUGCCGGAGCUAACGCGUUAAAUCGACCGCCUGGGGAGUACGGCCGCAAGGUUAAAACUCAAAUGAAUUGACGGGGGCCCGCACAAGCGGUGGAGCAUGUGGUUUAAUUCGAUGCAACGCGAAGAACCUUACCUGGUCUUGACAUCCACAGAACUUUCCAGAGAUGGAUUGGUGCCUUCGGGAACUGUGACACAGGUGCUGCAUGGCUGUCGUCAGCUCGUGUUGUGAGAUGUUGGGUUAAGUCCCGCAACGAGCGCAACCCUUGUCCUUUGUUGCCAGC